rnacentral:rRNA from 1 species
AGCUUGAAGAAAAUUGGUUUUAGGUUAUUUCUGCCCAGUGACGGUAAAAAGUUAAAUGGCCGCAGUACAUUGACUGUGCUAAGGUAGCAUAAUAAUUUGUCCUUUAAUUGGGGUCUAGAAUGAAUGAAUUUAUGGGGAAUAGCUGUCUCAAUAAGAAUUUAUAUGAAUUUAUUAAUAAGGUGAAAAUACCUUAAGUUUGAAAAAAGACGAGAAGACCCUAAGAGUUUUUAUAAGUAGUAAAAAUUAUUAGAUUUACAUAAGUUUUCGUUGGGGCGACGGGAUUACAUAUAAUUUAAACUUUUUAAUUAUAGAAUAGGGAUAUUUCAAAUUUUGUUUAGAAUAAGUAAACUACCUUAGGGAUAACAGCAUAAUACUUUUAGUGAUUGUGACCUCGAUGUUGGACUAGGGACAAAUGAAUGGUUAGAUGCCUGUUUUGCUGGUUCUGUUCGAACUUAAAACCCU